CACUCUAAAAAACGCUGGGUUGUUUUUUCAACCCAACUGCUGGGUUGAGGCCGUUUGAUAGGACUUUGGGAUGUUUUAACCCAAGUUUGGGUUGAAAAUAACUUUCUUUUUUAACCCAGCGGGGUGGGUUGAGGACGCGGACGUGAAGGAGAGCACGCACGUCACGUCAAAAUCGUACGUCUCCAGUGCGAGCAGCCGCCAUUUUCUCAGCGUGAUAGAAGCGAGAAGCGAGUGAAAGACUAUGACUUGUCCAGCUCCUGUCUUCAUUGUCCUUCUGUUAAAGACACAGAAGCUGUUUGUGUGAGGAGUCACAGACCUGUGUGAGGAUGAGGAGGAGGUGUUCUUCUGAAGAGAGGGACAGACGCUUUAAGGAGAGUAAACUUCAGAAUAACAUCAAGUUAUCUUUAUUUUUACUAAGACUAAAAUAAUGUGUGUGUUUUUUUUUUUAGAUGUUGAAAUCCAGAGACAAGAUAACUUCAUUCUUUUGAGACUGAUAACUCAAACUAACUGGAGUUAAGGACACACAAGUCUGCUUGUGUGAGGAGGUGGUUUUCUCAGCUUCUUCUGAAGAGAGGGAAAGAUCGUAUAAGGCAAG